CCUACGGGAGGCAGCAGUGGGGAAUAUUGCACAAUGGGGGAAACCCUGAUGCAGCGACGCCGCGUGAGUGAAGAAGUAUUUCGGUACGUAAAGCUCUAUCAGCAGGGAAGAAAAUGACGGUACCUGACUAAGAAGCCCCGGCUAACUACGUGCCAGCAGCCGCGGUAAUACGUAGGGGGCAAGCGUUAUCCGGAUUUACUGGGUGUAAAGGGAGCGUAGACGGCAGCGCAAGUCUGGAGUGAAAUCCCAUGGCUUAACCAUGGAACUGCUUUGGAAACUGUGCAGCUAGAGUGCAGGAGAGGUAAGCGGAAUUACUAGGGUAGCGGUGAAAUGCGUAGAUAUUAGGAGGAACACCAGUGGCGAAGGCGGCUUACUGGACUGUAACUGACGUUGAGGCUCGAAAGCGUGGGGAGCAAACAGGAUUAGAUACCCCUGUAGUC
rnacentral:rRNA from 1 species